UUAUUCAUCAGCCCAUUAAAGGGGCAUCCCAACAAGCCUAUGCGUUACCCAACCACCUUCCAAUCCAUCCAGCCCACACUAUAAGACCAAGCCCGCCUGCAUAUGACCAAUCAGUAACUUUUUCUUUGAUUUUGUUUUAAUGUGCUUCUUCCCUAUCUUCCUUUUCUGGUGAAAGCCCGACAUCUGCAUAAGCCAUGACAAAGCUCUGACUUUCCAAUUCGAGUAAGACUUUUGCUCCUAUUUUGAGAUCACGUGAAGUCUGCAAAUUCUGUCCAAAAUUCCCAACGUUUCAAAUUCAAACGGAGUUGAAUGAAAGCCGAAGAUAGUAGAUCUUCUUGACGACGCCCCGUUCGCUGCCCACAAAAAGGUCGGUGACUUUAAAUUUAUCUCUUCUGCUUAAGGUCUGAAAUGAAUAUUUGUUUGAUUUGAGUGCGAGCUACGGAUCAAUUUAGUUUGUUUUGUGUGAAGAAUGGUGGUUUAGUAUCGUUUUUUAGAUAUAUACGUGUUAGAGUUACUGCCUAAAAAAUGAAUAUUGGGAAAGAUUAAAAUCCAUGUCUAAACUUUAAAUAAAGAUUUGCAUUAUGUCUUGUUAUAGAGUUGGAGAACGUGCAACAAGCUGUAAGCUAUUCCUGUUUUAUUUCUUCUAUGUUAUUACAAACCAUUUUCAUUUCUAUUCCCCUUAACUACUUUUCAUGAAGUCUGUAUAUGGUUUGGACAUAUGUACUAAAUUAAGUCACUCUAGCUUGUUAAAUUUGGCUAAGUUUAAGGAAUUAACUUGCAAUAGUAUGCUAUUACAAAUACUUUUGCCAUUGUAGGAUACAUCAAUUUUAGUUUAGGCUAGAGCUAUUUUAAAUAUUUGUAAUAGACAACAACUAUAAACGAGUCUGAGAAUUUUUUUUUACAUGCUAGAGAUCUUGGUUAUAUGAAGGCCUAAAUGUGUUCAUGUAGUUAAAUGACUUGCUUACAAGUUCAGCAGUUUAUACUCGAUUUAUUAACAUUUUGGCGUGUCUUAGUUAGUGUUCUUACUUACUUUGGCUUCAUAAGCGCGUUACUCUGCUGGAAUUUGUUAUCUGGGAUUGUCGAAAAGAAUUUUUUUUUAGGAAAGAUCUAAAUAUCAUUGGCCAUAGGAUUAUAAGGUGUUUAUUCGAACCAUAUUGUUAAACUUCCCUUUAGACCCAAUGCUUUAAGACUUUAAAAUACUUUUUUGGGGACAUAGCUUGUGGAUUGUUGCAAAACCAAAGAAGGAAUGAUAUGCUUAUUUUGGGUCUUUGAUUUUUGUAUAUUACAUAGUACUAAAUUUUCCCUCUAAUUCUGUGUUCCUUUUUUUCCUUUGUUUGCAUAUGCACUUGGAGCAAAUCAUGGAGUCUUAAGCAAGACUCUCCCAUACCCGCACGUGGAGUCAAUGCCUCUCAUUCUUUAGAUGCACCGGAUAGCGAGAAAAACAUGUGAAACGCUUGGGGGCACCUAUGGCGUCUUUCUUUACAUCCAUGUUGUCUAACUUCUUGAUUACAGAUGAUUUAUUUGUAUUUGUGCUUAUCUCAUAUUUAGCAUGAGUUUUGGUAAUUAAGUUUAUUUAAUUAUUUAGUAUUUUUGCUAAAUAAAGUACUCAUUCAUCACAUAGGACUAACAUUAAAUUAGAUGAAGACUUGAAACCUUC